CGAUUUGGCGGACGGGUGAGUAACGCGUGGGCAACCUGCCUCAUCAAGGGGGAUAACAGUGGGAAAUUACUGCUAAUACAAGCAUGAAAUCAUAGGAGGACAUCAUUUAAUGAUCAAAGGAGCAAUCCGGUUUGAGAUGGGCCCGCGUCCAAUUAGUUAGUUGGUGGGGUAACGGCUCACCAAGGCGACGAUUGGUAGCCGCCAUGAGAGGUUGAUCGGCCACAUUGGGACUGAGACACGGCCCAGACUCUUACGGGAGGCAUCAGUGGGGAAUAUUGCGCAAUGGGGGAAACCCUGACGCAGCAACGCCGCGUGAAGGAUGAAGGUUUUCGGAUUGUAAACUUCUUUGAUGAGGGACGAACUCAACGACGGUACCUCAAAAACAAGCCACGGCUAAUUACGUGCCAGCAGCCGCGGUAAUAAU
rnacentral:rRNA from 1 species